UCGGCAGCUUUAAUCUGCGCGUGUAUGGCAACCUUAACUCCUUCAGUACUUUGUUUUUAUCAAUCAAUACAGUCCUCUGUCCAACAAGCAACAAUUUCCAACAUCGUAUUAAUCUUGUAAUUAUCCAGUAAGUGCAUGUUUUAACAAAGGACACCAAAUGGAAAUUACUACAGGAGACACUGCUUGGAAUAUUCCAGAUUUAAAAGUAUGGAAAAGUUUUAAAAGCAAUCACAUUAUUUUGCUUUAAUACACACACAAUAUACACAUAAUAAGCACAGAGGGCAUCUCCCGAUAUAGCUUGUCUACAGCUGCCAUCAGAAAGAACAAUGCUGUUUUUUUUUCAUUUCAUUACCCAGGACUAUAGAGGACGUACUAAACUGUUUGAUGGCGUGAGGACUUUCUAUCUCUAACAGGACAUAAUUAUAUGCAAAUAAGGACCUGGCUGUAAAUCCACCAGUAAAUAAUUGCAUUAUAUAAUGAAAGGCAAAACUGUAAUACUUCUCUCAUGAAGGAUACACCCAUUGAACCAUUGCAGAGAUUAAAGGACAGGAUUGGAAUAGAGCCAGACACACCAGCCAGAGAACCGCACAGGCUCAUUACAAGCGUUUACCCUAAACACCCAGUAUAAAUAUCAACAUUUGUAUUCACAAAACAAAGAAGGAAAUGAUUAGCUUCCAGAUUGUUUCCAAAGAGCUUUUUGGCAAGAUCAGGAGGAAAAGCAUAAGAAACAGUUUGGCUGUAGAAGGGACAUCACACACUCAGUCUCCUGAAUGAAACUGAAUAGCAUCAUACUGGUACUCACAUCCAUGAGUAUAUGUGAAAGAAGUUGGAAGAAGCAAUGAAGCCAGAGCUGCCUAGAGCAAUCUGUGGUUAGUGCACCCUUAUCAACAAGUGUAUUACUGUAGAUUUUAGGUCCAUUGGACUUUUUAUACACCACAUUUGUAAAG